AAAAAUAAGGAAAGACAAAAAGAAGGCUUAGAAGCAAGUAGCUGGAAAGGCACCGACAACUAAAAAACUUGCUGGAGCAAAGCCAACUAGCAAGAAGGCUAAAGGAUAAUCUUUCCACUGCAAGGAGGAGGGGCAUUGGAAGCGUAAUUGCCCCUCCCUCAAGGCAACUAGAACCAAGCAACAGGAAAACGGUGAAGGAGAGCAAGUUAAAGCUUAGAGUUGGAAAUGGUGAAUUCGUGGAGGUCAAAGCAAAAGGACAAGCUCCUUUAAAUUUUGAAAAUAAAUUUAUGUUGUUGGAUGAUAUUUAUUUUGUUCCAAACUUCAGUAGGAAUUUAGUUUCAGUUUCCUUAUUACAUCAACAACGAUUUGUUGUUACGUUCACAAGUCUUAAUAUAUCUAUUUCAUUUGAUGGA